rnacentral:rRNA from 1 species
GACGAACGCUGGCGGCGUGCUUAACACAUGCAAGUCGAACGGAAAGGCCCUGCUUUUGUGGGGUGCUCGAGUGGCGAACGGGUGAGUAACACGUGAGUAACCUGCCCUUGACUUUGGGAUAACUUCAGGAAACUGGGGCUAAUACCGGAUAGGAGCUCCUGCUGCAUGGUGGGGGUUGGAAAGUUUCGGCGGUUGGGGAUGGACUCGCGGCUUAUCAGCUUGUUGGUGGGGUAGUGGCUUACCAAGGCUUUGACGGGUAGCCGGCCUGAGAGGGUGACCGGCCACAUUGGGGCUGAGAUACGGCCCAGACUCCUACGGGAGGCAGCAGUGGGGAAUAUGGCACAAUGGGCGGAAGCCUGAUGCAGCAACGCCGCGUGCGGGAUGACGGCCUUCGGGUGGUAAACCGCUUUCGCCUGUGACGAAGCGUGAGUGACGGUAAUGGGGAAAGAAGCACCGGCUAACUACGU